rnacentral:ncRNA from 1 species
UGUUAGCUCAUGUAUGGCUAUACAUGAACCUCCCUGUUGGACUGGCCCCGGCAUCGCGCCGGGGCUUUUUU